rnacentral:tRNA from 1 species
GCCUGGGUGGCCCAGUCGGUUAAGCGUCUGACUUCUGCUCAGGUCUUGAUCUCACACUUGGCGGGUUCAAGCCCCGCGUCGGGCU